CGGUCAAGCGAAGAAGGGCGCAGGGCGAAUGCCUUGGCACUGGGAGCCGAAGAAAGACGUGAUAAGCUGCGAUAAGCCGCGGGGAGCUGCAAAUAAGCUUUGAUCCGCGGAUCUCUGAAUGGGGAAACCCACACGGAGUCAUAUCCGUGUAUCCUAUACUGAAUCAAAUAGGUAUAGGAAGGGAACUGCCUGAACUGAAACAUCUAAGUAGGGCAAGGAAGA
rnacentral:rRNA from 1 species